GAGCUAACACCGGAUAAUAUAUUGAACCGCAUGGUUCAAUAGUGAAAGACGGUUUUGCUGUCACUUAUAGAUGGAUCCGCGCCGCAUUAGCUAGUUGGUAAGGUAACGGCUUACCAAGGCAACGAUGCGUAGCCGACCUGAGAGGGUGAUCGGCCACACUGGAACUGAGACACGGUCCAG
rnacentral:rRNA from 1 species